rnacentral:lncRNA from 1 species
UAAUACGUAUAUUUGCAAUUACCUGUAGGUACCUUAUUUUGGCUAAUAAAGUAUAGGCGCGAAGACUUUCUGAUUGGCACUCAUAUCUACAAGUGC